rnacentral:rRNA from 1 species
AUUGAACGCUGGCGGCAGGCCUAACACAUGCAAGUCGAGCGAGCGGCGGACGGGUGAGUACUGUAUGGGGACUGCCCGCUAGAGGGGGAUAACUCCUGGAAACGGUGGCUAAUACCGCAUACUGUCGGAUAACCCAUAUGGGAUUAGCUAGUAGGUAAGGUAAUUGCUCAACUAGGCGACGAUCCCGAGCUGGUCUGAGAGGAUGAUAAGCCACACUGGGACUGAGAAACGGCCCAGACGCCGACGGAGGAAGCAGUGAGGAAGAUUGGUCAAUGGGCGGUAGCCUGAACCAGCCAAGUAGCGUGAAGGAUGAAGGUCUAUGGGUCGUAAACUUCUUUUAUAUAAGAAGAUGUAUUAUAUGAAUAAGGAUCGGCUAACUCCGUGCCAGCAGCCGCGGUAAUAC